GUCAGGUUAGGAACUCAAGCAGG
rnacentral:piRNA from 1 species